AUGAAAAGACUUAGGGAAGAUCCUGAGGUGACAGAGGGCUUAGACCUGACAGGACAGACCCAAAUCAUGGAUUCUGAAGGCAAAUCAAAGCCAACCGCGGGAGGGGCAGAGGAACGGGAAGAGAAGGACCCGGGAAGCACUGAAAGUUUGGAAGCAAACUCGCAAGCAAGUUCAAACGAUGAAGGAGAGAAGACUGCUGCGGAGCGAAGUCAGGCGAAGCAGUUUACCUCAAUUUCUUUAUCUCAGGUAAGUCUGCUUUGAAGGUUCUGCCCGAGACCGCCAGUAGCAGCGUGCUGCACUGCGAUCUCCUCGAUACUGUCUAAGCAUUCGGCUGGCAGGAAAUUCCUUCCACAGCAUAGCUAGAUUUGCCUUUGUGUAGCUGUUUUUCCUCUGUGGACAAAUUCACUUUAGCUGCUUGAACGCUGCCAGCAUAUCUCCCUCAAAUGUAUACCCUAGGGCACGCAGCAGCGUUGCCAAAGUUCUGGAAUGAGCACAUGACAACAAAUUGCACCUGAAAAAAGUGGGUUUAACUGAAACCCCGCAUUCACUGCAAAACUGAAGUGUGUUAUUAAAAUGCACCUAAUUUAAUCCAUUGUUACAGUGUAAAAUAAUGCAUUUCAAAUAUGUACAAACUGCAGAAAGCAUUUCCCAGAAUUUUAAGGGUUCAGCUUGUUCUCUAUUAAAUCGAGAAAGAAAACCUCUAAGCUUCAGGCUUGACAUAACAUUGUGAGCUUCUCGGGGAUGGUUUGCAGUGUCUACCCAGAUAGGAUUAUAAGCCGGAUGAGGUCAUCCCCUCGCUGUCUUUCUAAUCGAUAUUGAGAGCUGCUGAGCUGGGAAGACUGGGCAUGGUGCUCAGGAUGUUGGAUUGCUCGGUCCCCCGGGGAGUAACUGCUCCUCACACUCAUCACUAUUGCCCUUGGCUGUAGAAGUCAGCAGGGAAGUUUGUGCCAGUCUUCACAAGGCCGAAGGAGGCUCUGGCGGAGAAACGGAAGCGAAACAACGGUGUCGCUCCGAGGAGUCGAACAGAACAGGUAAAAUGGUGCAUCCCAGUUAACCAUCUUCCUAUGGACAGGUUUGUUUUUGUUGUUGUUAAUAAACUAUACAAUUUAAAGCUACUUCUUGUUGCU
rnacentral:lncRNA from 1 species